rnacentral:rRNA from 1 species
GGGUCAGCGAAAAGCUGACCGGUAGGAGAGCAUUCCUGCCAGCUUUGAAGGUCACCCGCGAGAGUGACUGGAGCGGCAUGAAAAGCAAAUGUAGGCAUAAGUAACGAUAAUGGGGGCGAGAACCCCCCACGCCGCAAGACCAAGGCUUCCCCGGCAAUGUCAAUCAGCCGGGGGUCAGCCGGCCUCUAAGGCUAACCCGAAGGGGGAUGCCGACGAGAAACGGGUUAACAUUCCCGUGCUUCUCGUCACCGUGACGCGGUGACGGGGUGAUGAAUGGACCGCGCGCUGACGGAAUAGCGCGUUGAAGGCCGUACCCUGUGACGGUGGUAGUCAAGCACGCCACCGGAGGCGAAAGUCGAUAGUACCUCGAGGCCUCGGCCGAGUGGAUAGCGUCCAGGCAAUUAACCCCCUAGAAAACCCGCUAAACUUCAAGUGACGAGGAACCGUACUGUAAACGGACACACGUGGUCGGGUAGAACAUACCAAGGCGCUCGAGUGAUUCAUGGUCAAGGAACUAGGCAAAAUAGUCCUGUAACUUAGGGAUAAAGGACGCUCUAGUGAUAGAGCCGCAGAGAAAUGGCCCAGGCGACUGUUUACCAAAAACACAUGGCUAUGCCAAAUCGAAAGAUGACGUAUAUGGCCUGACACCUGCCCGGUGCCGGAAGGUUAAGAGGAGAGCUCAUCGGAAACGAGAAGGUUUGAAUUGAAGCCCCGGUAAACGGCGGCCGUAACUAUAACGGUCCUAAGGUAGCGAAAUUCCUUGUCGGGUAAGUUCCGACCUGCACGAAUGGUGUAACGAUCUGGGCACUGUCUCGACCAUGAGCUCGGUGAAAUUGUAGUUCCGGUGAAGAUGCCGGGUACCCGCGACGGGACGGAAAGACCCCGUGAACCUUUACUGCAGCUUCGCGUUGUUCCCGGGCACGGGACGUGUAGGAUAGGUCGGAGGCUACGAUUCGGUUUCGCCAGGAAUCGAGGAGCCAUCGUUGAAAUACGACCCUUCUCUUGUCUGGGAUCUAACCCUGGUUAUAGGGGACACCGCGUGGUGGGUAGUUUGACUGGGGUGGUCGCCUCCAAAAGCGUAACGGAGGCUUCCAAAGGUACCCUCGGGUUGGUUGGUAAUCAACCUCAGAGUGCAAUGGCACAAGGGUGCUUGACCGGGAGACCAACGAGUCGAUCGGGUGCGAAAGCAGGGCAUAGUGAUCCGGUGAUCCCGCGUGGAAGGGUCAUCGCUCAAAGGAUAAAAGGUACUCCGGGGAUAACAGGCUGAUCGCCCCCAAGAGCUCAUAUCGACGGGGCGGUUUGGCACCUCGAUGUCGGCUCG